rnacentral:siRNA from 1 species
ACCAUAACCCCUAUGAAGAUACCC